rnacentral:tRNA from 2 species
UGGCUGAGUGGCUUAAGGCAUUGGUUUGCUAAAUCGGCAUACAAGAAGAUUGUAUCAUGGGUUCGAAUCCCGG